rnacentral:rRNA from 1 species
GCAGGGCGGAUGCCUUGGCACUAGGAGCCGAUGAAGGACGUGAUAAGCUGCGAUAAGCUUCGGGGAGUUGCACGUAAACUUUGAUCCGAAGAUUUCCGAAUGAGGAAACUCACUUAGAGUAAUGUCUAAGUAUCAUUAAGUGAAUACAUAGCUUAAUGAGGGGAACUCAGGGAACUGAAACAUCUAAGUACCUGAAGGAAGAGAAAGAAAUUCGAUUCCGUAAGUAGCGGCGAGCGAACGCGGAUUAGCCCAAACCAAUAAAGUUUUCUUUAUUGGGGUUGCGGACAUAUCAUAACGGAGAGGUAUCGUAAUUGAAGAGGUUUGGAAAGACCCACCACAGAAGGUAAUAGUCCUGUAUGUUAAACGAGAAGACUUUAGAUAUGAUCCAGAGUACCACGG